rnacentral:rRNA from 1 species
GAACUCUAACAUGUAUGCGAGUGUUGGGAAACGAUUGAAGUCAGUCGUACCUGCGGACAAUCAGCUUUUUGAGUGUGAUUAUGUGGAUUGUGAGGAGUUUAAUCACCCUCAUGUUUUGCAUAUUCGUGCUCUUGGGUGUACUUGCCCGUGUGGUAGGUUAACAUCAAUUUCGGACGUCAUAAAAUGAUUGGAGGAAUGUAGCUUUGAUCUCGUAUCGAAGUGUUAUAGCCUCUGGUAGAUGUGACGAUUGGGAUUGAGGAUUGCAACGG